CUUUAGCAACACAAGUAUUAAAGGUCCCGCCUGCCCAGUGAGAUUUAUUUUUAACGGCCGCGGUAUUCUAACCGUGCAAAGGUAGCGUAAUCACUUGUCUUCUAAAUAAAGACUAGUAUGAACGGCUAAAUGAGGGUAAGACUGUCUCUUAUAAUUAAUCAGUGAAACUGACCUUCCAGUACAAACGCUGGAAUAAAUACAUAAGACGAGAAGACCCCGUGGAGCUUAAAAUAAACCACUAAUACAUUAUACCCUAGUGUACUGUUUUCAGUUGGGGCGACUUCGGAAUAAAACAAAACUUCCGAGCACAGAACCACCACUUCCUACUAAGGCCAACAAGCCCAAGUACAACCUGACCCGGCUCCCUUGCCGAUCAACGAACCAAGUUACCCCAGGGAUAACAGCGCUAUCUUCUUCAAGAGUCCCUAUCAACAAGAAGGUUUACGACCUCGAUGUUGGAUCAGGACACCCAAAUGGUGCAGCCGCUAUUAAAGGUUCGUUUGUUCAACGAUUAACAGUCCUACGUGAUCUGAGUUCAGACCGGAGAAAUCCAGGUCGGUUU
rnacentral:rRNA from 1 species